rnacentral:rRNA from 1 species
AUUGAACGCUGGCGGCAUGCUUUACACAUGCAAGUCGAACGGCAGCGGGGUAGUGCUUGCACUACUGUCCGGCGAGUGGCGAACGGGUGAGUAAUAUAUCGGAACGUACCGAGUAAUGGGGGAUAACUAAUCGAAAGAUUGGCUAAUACCGCAUACGUCCUAAGGGAGAAAGCGGGGGAUCGCAAGACCUCGCGUUAUUCGAGCGGCCGAUAACUGAUUAGCUAGUUGGUGGGGUAAAGGCCUACCAAGGCGACGAUCAGUAGCGGGUCUGAGAGGACGAUCCGCCACACUGGGACUGAGACACGGCCCAGACUCCUACGGGAGGCAGCAGUGGGGAAUUUUGGACAAUGGGGGCAACCCUGAUCCAGCCAUGCCGCGUGUCUGAAGAAGGCCUUCGGGUUGUAAAGGACUUUUGUUAGGGAAGAAAAGGGAAGUGCUAAUACCACUUUUUGCUGACGGUACCUAAAGAAUAAGCACCGGCUAACUACGUGCCAGCAGCCGCGGUAAUACGUAGGGUGCGAGCGUUAAUCGGAAUUACUGGGCGUAAAGCGAGCGCAGACGGUUACUUAAGCAGGAUGUGAAAUCCCCGGGCUUAACCUGGGAACUGCGUUCUGAACUGGGUAGCUAGAGUAUGUCAGAGGGGGGUAGAAUUCCACGUGUAGCAGUGAAAUGCGUAGAGAUGUGGAGGAAUACCGAUGGCGAAGGCAGCCCCCUGGGAUAAUACUGACGUUCAUGCUCGAAAGCGUGGGUAGCAAACAGG